UAUUUAUGAGAAGAAAUGUCACCUACUUACUGUUUUUAACUUUUUUAAUAAGCUCCUUUCCUUGGUGUCAAAUUCUUGCUCUUCUUUAAGGCCUUCAUUAAUUAUUUCAGCACU